GAUGAACGCUAGCUACAGGCUUAACACAUGCAAGUCGUGGGGCAUCAUGAUGUAGUAAUACAUUGAUGGCGACCGGCGCACGGGUGAGUAACGCGUAUCCAACCUACCCUCCACUCAAGUAUAGGCUUCCGAAAGGGAGAUUAAUCCUUGAUAUCGUCAUUCUCUCUCCUGUUAGAAUGAUAAAAGGACAUCGUUUCGGUAGAGGAUGGGGAUGCGUUCCAUUAGGUAGUAGGUGGUUUAACAGGCCACCUAGCCGAUGAUGGAUAGGGGUUCUGAGAGGAAUAUCCCCCACACUGGUACUGAGAUACGGACCAGACUCCUACGGGAGGCAGCAGUGAGGAAUAUUGGUCAAUGGGCGCAAGCCUGAACCAGCCAUGUAGCGUGAAGGAUGACGGUUUUUUUGAUUGUAAACUUCUUUUCUGUGCGAUUAAAGUGUGGCAUUUAUGCCAUAUUGCAGUAUCUCAGGAAUAAGCAU
rnacentral:rRNA from 1 species